UCUACACACAAAUCCCUUCAUUUCUCAUUGCCUACACCAUGUUGUCAUUUAGAAAGCACUAGCAUUCAAUAUUGUUCACUCAAGUCAACACAGCUUGAGCUCAAUUAGCACACAGUUACCCACGUGGAAACACUAAGAGUCAAAAUUUAUCACACACCGAUCAGAACCUUCAACAGAGAGAUAAAAGAGUCCCAGUCAGUUCAUUCAGUUUUGGAACAAUGGAUCCAGAGAUGUGAUUGAAAAGGUCAAGGACACCAGAGAGGAGGAAGAGGAGGAGGAGGAGGAGGAGGAGGAGCAGUAAAAAGUGGAGGAAGAGGUGAAGGAGGAUUAAGAAGGGGAGGAUGAGGAUGAGGGGCAAGGAGACAAGGAGUGUCAGAUGAAAUUUGUGCCACUAGUUGACCAUGUCCUUGUCCAUGGUAUGACUAUGAGGGAGGCUGGGCAAUGAGUUCAGCCAAACUUAAGUUGCUUCACUGUCGCCUCGAUCGUAAGAACCUUCAGGGUGGAAACAGAGACGAUGAAAUGGAAGAAGCCCGACUAGACAUUUCAGUUGAUGUGUGCCAGGGGUGGAUCAGGCAUGCAAGAGGAUUUUCCCCCCCGCUGCCUGGAUAGGACCAGUAUAACCUGUGAUGUUGAUGAGAUUCUCUGAUCGUCCCAGACCAAAGACGUGAUGCUGGGGCAGAAUAUUUCUUGUUGUUGUUUGGUGUAUUGUACUGUACAGUACAUUAAGCAAUAAAAAAUGUGCAAGUGUAUACAUGUGUUCAUCAUUUGAAAAGUUCCUUGAAGGGGGAGAACUACAAGCAACAUAACUUAUUACUGGUUUUUGGAUUUUGUAGUAUUGUUUUGAAUUUAUCUCACUAGUGUGUAAGACUAUGUUGUAGUGUGUGUGUUUUUGAGGGCUUGUGUGUCAUGUCUGAGGACAAAGUUUGGUUUUUCAGCAAGAGUGAAUGGUUUUGAGUGUAGAGCUUCAUUUUGACCUGAAAAUAGGAUGUUUGGGGAAUUGGGUGAGACGUUAUGGAUUUGUGUUUACUGUUUUGAGAAAAUGAGGCAUAGUUUCAAGAAAUGUGUUUAAGCAAUCGAGAAAAACUGUAAAUGACAGCAGUGUAUAAUCUGAAUCAGCAGGUUUUCUUGAGCAAUUUAAUAUGUAACAUUUACUCGAAAAGAGAAGGUUGUUAAUUACUGCACAAAUACUGAACAAAAUGUUACAUUGUAUAAGCUGCACUUUUGACAAAACUAUGAAAGUGAUUAACACAAACUGCUAUGUUUAAUUGUUAGCUUGUUUUAUUUUUUUUAAUCAUGUGUUCAAUAAUUUUGCUGUUUUACAAUAAAAUGUUUUCUUUUUUUGUUCA